CCCUGUCACACUCAGCAUCACUACAGCUCCCAGUCCAGUGGAGGUAUCAGUCCUCAGUAGGACCACAUCGUCUGUGACAGUCGGCUGGACCCAGGCCAGGGACGUUGUCAAAGGCUUCAUCCUGUCAAUCAUAAACCAAACCUCCAAUCAGCAGCUGAACCUGUCAGCCCAGGAGCCAUGGUCUUACAGGUUUGAGGACCUCUCCCCAGGAAGCUAUUACACAGUAUAUGUUAUCAGCAGCAAUGGAGAGAGGAGGAGUACACAGGUUUCUGUAGACUUCAACACCAUCCCAGGAGCCCCACAGGAUGUGCUGCUGGUCGAAGAGGAUGUGACCUCAUCAGUGUUUGUGAGCUGGGGAGCCCCAGCAGGGGGCGUGGAGGGGUACAAGCUGCUGUUGUGUCCGUCAGGGGACAUGUCGUCAUGUCGUGAGAUGGUGGUUCAUAGCAACAGUCUCCAGGUUGGAGGUUUGACCCCAGGAUCAGAUUAUGACAUCACCGUCCUGAGCCUGCUGGUAUCAGACUUCAGCCAGCCUGUCACUACACAGUUCUCCACACGUCCGGCCGGUGUGUGUUCCCUCUCUCUGCUCUAUGUUAACUCUUCCUGUGCCGUGGUGAGGUGGGACGCUGCCAUUGGCCAGUUUGACUUCCACAGGGUAACUGUUGGAAAUGGCUCGCAAACCCAUACGAUAGAGGUCUCCAAGGAGAGGCAGGUUGCUACAGUAACUGGGUUGAGGGAUGGCUGUAUGUACAACAUGAGCGUGGAGCGCAUUAGACGAGGAGAGGCAGGGACAGCUGCCUCCCUGACUGUAACCACAGUGCCGGGCCGUGUGCGGGGUGUAAAUGUGGUUAGUGUGUCUGCUCAGAACUUCUCUCUGCGUUGGGACCAGUCGGAGGGGUGUGUGGACCAGUACCUCGUCAGCCUGCUGCCCAACCAAGGAACUGUCUCUGUCUACCGCACACACGACAGACUCGUACAGGCUGACGUAUCCAGUCUGAGUCCUCGAACAGCGUUUACGGUCAUGGUGACCGCUGCCUCCUCCUCCAACCUCAGCCCACCGGUCAGCCGCAUAAUCAACACCAACAAGACCGCCCCAACAUCUCCUCCCACCAAUCUAGAGGGGAGAGAGGGUGGGCUCCAAUGGGAUCCUUCUGUCUUGGACCAUGCCCUCUGACUCGCGCAUCGACGGUUAUGUCAUCAGGUACAAGGAGGUGUGUCCAUAUCCAGACCCCGCCUUCAAAGAGGUGACCAAACACCUGGACAUCCCUGAGACCCUUCUCAACCUCUUCUUACCAGGGUCUACCUAUAACAUCAAGGUUGCAGCAGAAAACUCUGCUGGUAUUGGACCCUAUAGCAAGUCUCUGUACAUCAAAACUGCUGAGGCUCCCCCAGGCCUGGUGACUAACCUGACAGCGUUUGCUGAGAACCACACGUUUGUAGUGGUCACUUGGCUCCUGCCACUCCGCAUCAACGGUCUGAUCACCAAGUUUGCGGUCAAAGCCAAACACGCUCGUACUGGUCAGACCGUCCGCAUACUGGAGCUGGAUGCUGAGGACAUCAUGACCGGAGCGCUACCACACUGCAAU
rnacentral:lncRNA from 1 species